rnacentral:tRNA from 1 species
AGGGAGAUAGCGCAGCUGGCUAGCGCGCUUGCUUUGGGAGCAAGAGGUCGCGGGUUCAAAUCCCGUUCUCCCUA